GACGAACGCUGGCGGCGUGCCUAAUACAUGCAAGUCGAACGCUGAAGGAGGAGCUUGCUUCUCUGGAUGAGUUGCGAACGGGUGAGUAACGCGUAGGUAACCUGCCUGGUAGCGGGGGAUAACUAUUGGAAACGAUAGCUAAUACCGCAUAAGAGUAGAUGUUGCAUGUCAUUUACUUAAAAGGUGCAAUUUCGUCACUACCAGAUGGACCUGCGUUGUAUUAGUUGGUUGGUGGGGUAACGGCCCACAAAGGAAACGACACAUAGCGGACCUGAGAGGGGGACCGCCCAACUGGGACUGAGACACGGCCCAGACUUCUACGGGAGGGAGCAAGAGGGGAACUUCGGCAAAGGACGGAAGUCUGAACGAGCAACGCCGCGGGAGGGAAGAAGGGUUUCGGGUCGGAAAGAUCUGUUGUAAGAGAAGAAAGAGUGUGAGAGUGAAAAGUUCACACUGUGACGGUACCUAACCAGAAAGGGACGGCUAACUACGUG
rnacentral:rRNA from 1 species